rnacentral:rRNA from 1 species
UACGAAGGGGGCUAGCGUUGUUCGGAGUCACUGGGCGUAAAGGGCGCGUAGGCGGCUACACAAGUGGCGGGUGAAAUCCCUCGGCUUAACCGAGGAACUGCCUGCCAGACUGUGUGGCUUGAGACCGGGAGAGGUGAGUGGAAUUCCCAGUGUAGCGGUGAAAUGCGUAGAUAUUGGGAGGAACACCAGUGGCGAAGGCGGCUCACUGGACCGGAACUGACGCUGAGGCGCGAAAGCGUGGGGAGCAAACAGG